CCCGAAACAUUUGGCUAAAAAUUGAGGGAACAAAGGAGAGAUAGAAAGACUCGGACCUCAAUCUCAGUCCUCCUCUCUCUCUCAAAAUCUCCAAGGACCGGUGCCGAAAGAUUCUGGUCGAUCUGCCGAAAGCCCAAGCAUAUAUUCAAAAGUCCGAUGCCGACACAAGGACCGUGGUGCUUCUGGUCGAUGACGGCGGCGAGAAGCGUAGCGAUGUGAGCUCGUCGGUGUCGUGAAUUGUUGAAUGAGUGAUUGUUCUGGUGAUUUCAAAGAGCAGCAAGAACCAACGGUUUCGUAAUGGCAAGCAAGUUCAUCACAUGGACAUUGAUAAGGAACUCCUUGCCGCCCCAAUCAAAUCUGCCAAGGACAAAUUCACACUCAUUCCCGAGUUUCUAAAGGUGAGAGGGUUGGUAAAGCAGCAUUAGGACUUGUUUAAUUACUUUGUGAACACUGGAAUCAAGAAAAUUGUGCGUGCCAAUGAUCGCAUAGUAUCCGGCGUCGAUCCAAGCAUUUGGCUCAGUAUCAUUUCAGCUAGAGAAUACUCAGUAUCAUUUCAUAUUGAACAUGAAAAGCUGUUGGGGGAUUGUAAGGAGACUUGGGAGCUCUCGGUUGAUGGGUAUGGAGAAGACGGGAAGCGGAUAUAUGAUCCGGUUAAGGGUGAAACUUGCCACCAAUGCAGACUCAUGGUGUGCGGUUUGGGCGAGCAAGUGUAAGAAGGCUAUUGGUUUUGCUGAGGUAUGUUAUGGUGUGUAUCAAAAUGUACUUUCCCAGGCUAUGAAGCUUUCAUCACUAUUUGUGUGUCUUCUCUUUGGCUUUCUUUCUUCUUGAAAGUUCUUGAUGCAUGUUCAGCUAGCUCCAGGAAACAAAACUGUCCACCUAGCAGCUCUAAUGGGAGGUGAAGGAUUAGAAAAAGGUCCUUAAUUUUUUAUCUAAUCUUCUGUAAUGUGAUAUAACCAUUCGCUAACUUAUGGGAGGUAAUGUGAUAUAUUGUGAUACCAUGUGGAAUAUUGUGAUAGAUAUGAUUCGCUAACUAAUCAAUUUUAUUAGUCAAAGGAUAAAAUGAUGUAAUGAGGUUUAGUAUAUCAUUAUUACACUUUUUGUAAUAUGAUUAUUGUGGUUGGUUAAGAUAAUUUUGAUGAAGAGUUUCUUUUACAUUGGGUUGUUGUAC